GACGAACGCUGGCGGCGUGCUUAACACAUGCAAGUCGAGCGGUAAGGCCUUUCGGGGUCCACGAGCGGCGAACGGGUGAGUAACACGUGGGAGAUCUGCCCUGCACUUCGGGAUAAGCCUGGGAAACUGGGUCUAAUACCGGAUAUGACCUCCUAUCGCAUGGUGGGUGGUGGAAAGAUUUAUCGGUGCAGGAUGGGCCCGCGGCCUAUCAGCUUGUUGGUGGGGUAAUGGCCUACCAAGGCGACGACGGGUAGCCGACCUGAGAGGGUGACCGGCCACACUGGGACUGAGACACGGCCCAGACUCCUACGGGAGGCAGCAGUGGGGAAUAUUGCACAAUGGGCGAAAGCCUGAUGCAGCGACGCCGCGUGAGGGAUGACGGCCUUCGGGUUGUAAACCUCUUUCAGCAGGGACGAAGCGCAAGUGACGGUACCUGCAGAAGAAGCACCGGCUAACUACGUG
rnacentral:rRNA from 1 species